rnacentral:rRNA from 1 species
AGCUCCAAUAGCGUAUAUUAAAGUUGUUGCGGUUAAAAGCUCGUAGUUGGAUUUCUGCUGAGGACAACCGGUCCGCCUUCUGGGUGAGUAUUUGGAGUGUCUUUGGCAUCAUCUUGGGGAACAUGCUGCACUUGACUGUGUGGCGUGGUAUCUUAGACAUUUACUUUGAGGAAAUUAGAGUGUUAAUUGCAGGCUUACGCCUUGAAUACAUUAGCAUGGAAUAAUAAUAUAGGACCCUGUCUUUAUUUUGUUGGUUUUUGGAGCUGUGGUAAUGAUUAAUAGGGAUAGUUGGGGGCAUUCAUAUUUAACUGCUAGAGGUGAAAUUCUUGGAUUUGUUAAAGAUGAACUACUGCGAAAGCAUUUGCCAAGUGUGUUUUUA